ACGGGGCUAGCUCAGUUGGUAGAGUAUCGGUCUCCAAAACCGAGCGUCGGGAGUUCGAGUCUCUCGCCCCGUGCAA
rnacentral:tRNA from 1 species